rnacentral:rRNA from 1 species
UACGGAGGGUGCAAGCGUUGUCCGGAAUCACUGGUCGUAAAGGGCGCGUAGGCGGCUCAUGAAGGCUGUGGUGAAAGUCCGGGGCUCAACCUCGGAUCGGCCGUGGCGACUCGUGGGCUGGAGCACUGUAGAGGCGGGUGGAAUUCCGGGUGUAGCGGUGGAAUGCGUAGAGAUCCGGAAGAACACCAGUGGCGAAAGCGGCUCACUGGACCAUAACUGACGCUGAUGCACGAAAGCUGGGGGAGCAAACAGG